rnacentral:rRNA from 1 species
CAGCUAGUUGUUAGAGUAAUAGCUUACCCAGGCCACGACGGUUAGGAAACUUGAGAGGGUGGUCCCCCACAUUGGCACUGAUACACGGGCCAGACACCUACGGGUGGCAGCAGUAGGGAAUAUUGCACAAUGGGCGUAAGCUUGAUGCAGCAACGCCGCGUGCACGUAUGAAGGCCUUCGGGUCGUAAAGUGCUUUUCGGGGAGAUGAGGAAGGACAGUAUCCCCGGAAUAAGGAUCGGCUAACUACGUGCCAGCAGCCGCGGUAAAACGUAGGAUCCGAGCGUUAUCCGAAUUUACUGGGCGUAAAGCGCGUGCAGGCUGGUUCGGUAAGUUGGAUGUGAAAUCUCCCGGCUCAACUGGGAGAGGUCGUUCAAUACUGUCGGACUAGAGGAUGGUAGAGGGAGGUGGAAUUCCCGGUGUAGUGGUGAAAUGCGUAGAUAUCGGGAGGAACACCAGUGGCGAAGGCGGCCUCCUGGGCCAUUCCUGACGCUCAGACGCGAAAGCUAGGGGAGCGAACGGGAUUAGAAACCCCGGUAGUCCUAGCAGUAAACGAUGUGGACUUGGCGUUGGUGGGGUAAAAUCCAUCAGUGCCGGAGCUAACGCGGUAAGUCCACCGCCUGGGGACUACGGCCGCAAGGUUAACUCAAAGGAAUCUGACUGGGGCCCGCACAAGCAGCGGAGCGUGUGGUUUAAUUCUGAUGCUACGCGAAGUACCUUACCCGUGGUUUGACAUACUGGUGGUAUGGGAUCCGAAAGGUGACCGACCCUUCGGGGAGCCAGUACAGGUGCUGCAUGGCUGUCGUCAGCUCGUGUCGUGAGAUGUCCGGUUAAGUCCGGUAAUCGAGCGCAACCCUCGCCGUAUGUUACAUGUGUCAUACGGGACUGCUGGUAUAAAGCUCGGAGGAAGGUGGGGAUGACGUCAAGUCAGCAUGGCCUUUAUAUCCGGGGCUACACACACGCUACAAUGGCCGGUACAAUAGGUUGCAAAACCGCGAGGUGGAGCCAAUCCUGAAAGCCGGUCUCAGUUCAGAUUGUAGGCUGCAACUCGCCUACAUGAAGUCGGAGUUGCUAGUAACCGCAGGACAGCUAUACUGCGGUGAAUACGUUCCCGGGGCUUGUACACACCGCCCGUCACGUCAUGGGAGCUGGCAACACCUGAAGCCGGUAUCCUAACCGUAAGGAGGGAGCCGUCAAAGGUGGGG